rnacentral:rRNA from 1 species
AGUGGCGGACGGGUGAGUAACGCGUGAGAAUCUGCCUUGGGGUCGGGGACAACCACUGGAAACGGUGGCUAAUACCGGAUAAGCCGAUUGGUGAAAGAUUUAUUGCCCGAAGAGGAGCUCGCGUCUGAUUAGCUAGUUGGUGAGGUAAGAGCUCACCAAGGCAGCGAUCAGUAGCUGGUCUGAGAGGACGAUCAGCCACACUGGGACUGAGACACGGCCCAGACUCCUACGGGAGGCAGCAGUGGGGAAUUUUCCGCAAUGGGCGAAAGCCUGGCGGAGCAAGACCGCGUGAGGGAGGAAGGCUCUUGGGUUGUAAACCUCUUUUCUCAGGGAAGAAGCUCUGACGGUACCUGAGGAAUCAGCCUCGGCUAACUCCGUGCCAGCAGCCGCGGUAAUACGGAGGAGGCAAGCGUUAUCCGGAAUUAUUGGGCGUAAAGCGUCCGCAGGUGGCGAUUCAAGUCUGCUGUCAAAGCACGGGGCUUAACUCCGUAAAGGCAGUGGAAACUGAAUAGCUAGAGUGCCGUAGGGGUAGAGGGAAUUCCCGGUGUAGCGGUGAAAUGCGUAGAGAUCGGGAAGAACAUCGGUGGCGAAAGCGCUCUACUGGACGGCAACUAACACUCAGGGACGAAAGCUAGGGGAGCGAAUGGGAUUAGAUACCCC